GGAUGUGAGGGCGAUCUGGCUGCGACAUCUGUCACCCCAUUGAUCGCCAGGGUUGAUUCGGCUGACCUGGCUGGCUAGGCGGGUGUCCCCUUCCUCCCUCACCACUCCAUGGGCGUCCCUCCCGAAGCUGCGUGCUCGGUGGAAGAGGACGGCCAUCCCAGAUAGAAGAAGUGUACCGAUCUUCGGUCAAGGAGUGCAGUGUCCCAGGGCCCCGUGAUCCCCUCUUGCAAUCUCUUGACCAGCGAGGUCGAUGGGGAAUGCAGAGACACUUAACAGUCGUGUUACUGUUAACAAAUGCCGUGAU
rnacentral:snRNA from 1 species